rnacentral:sRNA from 2 species
CGCCCGUCACACCAUGGGAGCUGGUAAUGCCCGAAGUCGGUUUAGUCAACUACGGAGACAACUGCCUAAGGCAGGACUGGUGACUGGGGUGAAGUCGUAACAAGGUAUCCCUACGAGAACGUGGGGAUGGAUUACCUCCUUUCUACGGAGUACAAAAUAACAAUUUAUUUGUUACUUAUUUACAAUUUACCUUAUUAUAAUAAGCUGUCAUUAUAUAUCUAGUUUUGAGAGAACUUUCUCUCUUAUGUUCUUUGAAAACUGAAUAGUAAAGAUAUUAAUAUAACAACGACAUCAAAAAAUAAAUUAGUCAAUUUGUUUUGUGAUACCGAGAAAUUAUUAGAAAUAAUAAUUCGUUAAAAUGUCUUUGAAUACAUCAACAACAAUAGGAAAAUAUUGUUACAACUUUUAAAUAAGUAAGAGUUUGUGGUGGAUGCCUUGGGUCUGAAAGUCGAUGAAGGACGUGAUUACCUGCGAUAAGCCUCGUGGAGCUGGAUAUAAGCAACGAAACGGGGAUUUCCGAAUGGGGAAACCUAACUAGAGUAAUGUCUAGUUGCUAUGGAAUGAAUAAAAUAGUUCCAUUUGCGAGACACGUUGUGAACUGAAACAUCUUAGUAGCAACAGGAAAAGAAAAUAAAAAUGAUUUCAUCAGUAGCGGCGAGCGAACGUGAAAGAGCCCAAACCAGUUUUUUAAACUGGGGUUGUAGGACUAUCUACAUAAAGUUACAAAUCUUUGUUAUAGCAGAAUAGUUUGGGAAAACUAAGCACAGAGGGUGAUACUCCCGUAAGCGAAAUAGCAAAGACUUUUGAUAGUAUCCUGAGUAGGGCGGGGCACGUGAAACCCUGUCUGAAUCUGCCGGGACCAUCCGGUAAGGCUAAAUACUAAUCAGACACCGAUAGUGAACUA